rnacentral:tRNA from 1 species
GUUAAGUUAGUUAACGUAAACAUUAGUUUUAAUUGCUAAAGAUGUUUUUGGACACUUAAAA